rnacentral:rRNA from 1 species
UGAGGAAUAUUGGUCAAUGGGCGAGAGCCUGAACCAGCCAAGUCGCGUGAAGGAAGAAGGUUCUAUGGAUUGUAAACUUCUUUUGUAAGGGAAUAAAAAGAGUUACGUGUAACUUAUUGUAUGUACUUUACGAAUAAGGAUCGGCUAACUCCGUGCCAGCAGCCGCGGUAAUACGGAGGAUCCAAGCGUUAUCCGGAUUUAUUGGGUUUAAAGGGUGCGUAGGCGGACCCUUAAGUCAGUGGUGAAAGUUUGCGGCUCAACCGUAAAAUUGCCAUUGAAACUGAGGGUCUUGAGUGUAAAUGAGGUAGGCGGAAUGUGUUGUGUAGCGGUGAAAUGCUUAGAUAUAACACAGAACACCAAUUGCGAAGGCAACUUGCUGGGCCAUUACUGACGCUGAUGCACGAAAGCGUGGGGAUCGAACA